CCACGUACGUGACAGAAUGAACUGACCAGAAGAGGACCCAGCGGGAAGAACAUGGCGUCACCCUGGACACCACCAAACUGCCUCCCACCGUCCUCAGCCUGCCAUCCAUACCUACGCUCCUCCAGCUCCUGCACUCCUGCCUUGCCUCCCUGCUUCCCUGCAAUGGGGUCCACCAUGUUCUUGCUUUGCGUUCCUCGCCUUCGCCCGAACCACGUACGUGACAGAAUGAACUGACCAGAAGAGGACCCAGCGGGAAGAACAUGGCGUCACCCUGGACACCACCAAACUGCCUCCCACCGUCCUCAGCCUGCCAUCCAUACCUACGCUCCUCCAGCUCCUGCACUCCUGCCUUGCCUCCCUGCUUCCCUGCAAUGGGGUCCACCAUGUUCUUGCUUUGCGUUCCUCGCCUUCGCCCGAACCACGUACGUGACAGAAUGAACUGACCAGAAGAGGACCCAGCGGGAAGAACAUGGCGUCACCCUGGACACCACCAAACUGCCUCCCACCGUCCUCAGCCUGCCAUCCAUACCUACGCUCCUCCAGCUCCUGCACUCCUGCCUUGCCUCCCUGCUUCCCUGCAAUGGGGUCCACCAUGUUCUUGCUUUGCGUUCCUCGCCUUCGCCCGAACCACGUACGUGACAGAAUGAACUGACCAGAAGAGGACCCAGCGGGAAGAACAUGGCGUCACCCUGGACACCACCAAACUGCCUCCCACCGUCCUCAGCCUGCCAUCCAUACCUACGCUCCUCCAGCUCCUGCACUCCUGCCUUGCCUCCCUGCUUCCCUGCAAUGGGGUCCACCAUGUUCUUGCUUUGCGUUCCUCGCCUUCGCCCGAACCACGUACGUGACAGAAUGAACUGACCAGAAGAGGACCCAGCGGGAAGAACAUGGCGUCACCCUGGACACCACCAAACUGCC